rnacentral:rRNA from 1 species
AACGAACGCUGGCGGCAUGCCUAACACAUGCAAGUCGAACGAGACCUUCGGGUCUAGUGGCGCACGGGUGCGUAACGCGUGGGAACCUGCCCUUAGGUUCGGAAUAACCCCCCGAAAGGGGUGCUAAUACCGGAUAAUUCCUUCGGACCAAAGAUUUAUCGCCUUUGGAUGGGCCCGCGUUGGAUUAGCUAGUUGGUAGGGUAAAAGCCUACCAAGGCGACGAUCCAUAGCUGGUCUGAGAGGAUGAUCAGCCACACUGGGACUGAGACACGGCCCAGACUCCUACGGGAGGCAGCAGUGGGGAAUAUUGGACAAUGGGCGAAAGCCUGAUCCAGCAAUGCCGCGUGAGUGAUGAAGGCCUUAGGGUUGUAAAGCUCUUUUACCCGGGAUGAUAAUGACAGUACCGGGAGAAUAAGCUCCGGCUAACUCCGUG